rnacentral:tRNA from 1 species
UGGGGUGUUGCCAAGAGGUUAAGGCAUUGGUUUUUGAUAUCAAUAUGCAAAGGUUCGAAUCCUUUUAUCCCAA